rnacentral:rRNA from 1 species
GAGAGACUCUGCACGGAAAAUAAUCGGGCAUCAAACUAUCAACCGAAGCUUUAAACCAUGUAUUAGGUACAUGUGUGGUAGGGGAGCAUUGAAAUCUUGCGUUGAAGGUGACAGGCGACUGUUGCUGGAGCGAUUUCAAAAGAAAAUGUAGGCAUAAGUAACGAUAAAUGAAGUGAAAAACUUCAUCGCCGUAAGACUAAGGGUUCCUGAUCAACGCUAAUCGGAUCAGGGUUAGUCGGGUCCUUAGGCGUACCCGAAAGGGGAAGCUGAUGGCAAGCUGGUUAAUAUUCCAGUACCCGCUUUAGUUUCGAUGGGGUGACGGGGUAGUGAAAGGACUGCGUGACCACGGAUGUUCACGUUAAAGGGUGUAGUUAUAUGUUGUGUAGGUAAAUCCGCACGAUGUGGCGAACCUGAUAGUACAGCAAAGCUUCGGUGGAGCUGAUAAUGUCCCUAAUCAAACCUCCGAGAAAAACCUCUAAGGUUAGGCUAAAGCGGCCCGUACCGCAAACCGACACAGGUGGGCUGGUAGAGCAUACCAAGGUGGACGGGAGAACCCAUGCCAAGGAACUCGGCAAAUUGGCCCCGUAACUUCGGGAGAAGGGGCACCCCGGUAGGGUGAAGCGGCUUGCCCGUGGAGCUCGAGGGGGUCGCAGAGAGCGGGCCCAGGCGACUGUUUACCAAAAAAAUACCUCGAGCCGACGCCCGAGUAUCGGUCCAAGGGCGCAAAGUGAGUGAACUUUUCGAGGCGAUGAAAAGGGGUAGAGAGAAUACCUCGAGCCGACGCCCGAGUGGCAAGCGCUACGGCGCUGAAGUAACUCAUGUCACACUCCCAAGAAAAGCCCGAACGACCUUCAACGAGUGGGUACCCGUACCUGAAACCGACACAGGUGGGUAGGUAGAGAAUACCUAGGGGCGCGAGAUAACUCUCUCUAAGGAACUCGGCAAAAUAGCCCCGCAACUUCGGGAGAAGGGGCGCCUUCUCGCAGAAGAGGUCGCAGUGACCAGGCCCAGGCGACUGUUUAACACAAACACAGGUCUCCGCGAAGGCGCGAGCCGACGUAUGGGGGCUGACACCUGCCCAGUGCCGGAAGGUUAAGGGGAGGGCUGCAGGGCCCGAACCGAAGCCCCGGUAAACGGCGGCCGUAACUAUAACGGUCCUAAGGUAGCGAAAUUCCUUGUCGGGUAAGUUCCGACCCGCACGAAAGGCGUAACGAUCUGGGCACUGUCUCGGAGAGAGACUCGGUGAAAUAGACAUGUCCGUGAAGAUGCGGACUACCCGCACCCGGACAGAAAGAAACUCUCUCUAAGGAACUCGGCAAAAUAGCCCCGCAACUUCGGGAGAAGGGGCGCCUUCUCGCAGAAGAGGUCGCAGUGACCAGGCCCAGGCGACUGUUUACCAAAAACACAGGUCCCCGCAAAGUCGUAAGACCAUGUAUGGGGGCUGACGCCUGCCCAGUGCCGGGAGGUUAAGGAAGUUGGUGACCCGAUGACGGGAAAGCCAGCAACCGAAGCCCCGGUGAACGGCGGCCGUAACUAUAACGGUCCUAAGGUAGCGAAAUUCCUUGUCGGGUAAGUUCCGACCCGCACGAAAGGCGUAACGAU